rnacentral:rRNA from 1 species
AGGGCACCACCAGGAGUGGAGCCUGCGGCUUAAUUUGACUCAACACGGGAAAACUCACCCGGCCCGGACACUGGAAGGAUUGACAGAUUGAGAGCUCUUUCUUGAUUCAGUGGGUGGUGGUGCAUGGCCGUUCUUAGUUGGUGGAGUGAUUUGUCUGGUUAAUUCCGAUAACGAACGGGACUCUAGCCUAUUAAAUAGAUCGUUGGCUUACAAACGCCGGCGAGACUUCUUAGAGGGACAGGCGGCGAUUCAGCCGCACGAAACAGAGCAAUAACAGGUCUGUGAUGCCCUUAGAUGUCCGGGGCCGCACGCGCGCUACACUGAAGUGAUCAGCGUGCAUUUUGAAACCUACUCUGUCAAGAGUGGGGAACCCAAUGAGCCUUCUUCGUGAUUGGGAUAGGGGAUUGUAAUUAUUCCCCUUGAACGAGGAAUUCCCAGUAAGCGCGAAUCAUAAGUUUGCGCUGAUUACGUCCCUGCCCUUUGUACACACCGCCCGUCGCUACUACCGAUUGAAUGUUU